rnacentral:rRNA from 1 species
UACGAAGGGGGCUAGCGUUGUUCGGAAUUACUGGGCGUAAAGCGCGCGUAGGCGGCGACCUUUGUCAGAGGUGAAAUCCCGAGGCUCAACUUCGGAAUUGCCUUUGAAACGGGGUUGCUUGAGUCCGAGAGAGGAUGGCGGAAUUCCUAGUGUAGAGGUGAAAUUCGUAGAUAUUAGGAAGAACACCGGUGGCGAAGGCGGCCAUCUGGCUCGGUACUGACGCUGAGGCGCGAAAGCUAGGGGAGCAAACGGG